CCUACGGGAGGCAGCAGUGGGGAAUAUUGGACAAUGGGCGCAAGCCUGAUCCAGCAAUGCCGCGUGAGUGAUGAAGGCCUUAGGGUCGUAAAGCUCUUUUACCAGGGAUGAUAAUGACAGUACCUGGAGAAUAAGCUCCGGCUAACUCCGUGCCAGCAGCCGCGGUAAUACGGAGGGAGCUAGCGUUGUUCGGAAUUACUGGGCGUAAAGCGUACGUAGGCGGUUAUUCAAGUCAGAGGUGAAAGCCCGGGGCUCAACCCCGGAACGGCCUUUGAAACUAGGUAGCUAGAAUCUUGGAGAGGUCAGUGGAAUUCCGAGUGUAGAGGUGAAAUUCGUAGAUAUUCGGAAGAACACCAGUGGCGAAGGCGACUGACUGGACAAGUAUUGACGCUGAGGUACGAAAGCGUGGGGAGCAAACAGGAUUAGAUACCCUGGUAGUCCACGCCGUAAACGAUGAUAACUAGCUGUCCGGGCACUUGGUGCCUGGGUGGCGCAGCUACGCAUAGUUAUCGCCGUGGUAGUACGGUCGCGAGAUAAACUACAANAGAUAGACGCGNGAGACGUGCGACGACGACGACGAGGAGAG
rnacentral:rRNA from 1 species